GACCAGACUCCUACGGGAGGCAGCAGUGGGGAAUAUUGCACAAUGGGGGAAACCCUGAUGCAGCGACGCCGCGUGAGCGAUGAAGUAUUUCGGUAUGUAAAGCUCUAUCAGCAGGGAAGAAAAUGACGGUACCUGAAGAAGAAGCCCCGGCUAACUACGUGCCAGCAGCCGCGGUAAUACGUAGGGGGCAAGCGUUAUCCGGAUUUACUGGGUGUAAAGGGGGCGCAGACGGCGAUGCAAGCCAGGAGUGAAAGCCCGGGGCCCAACCCCGGGACUGCUCUUGGAACUGCGUGGCUGGAGUGCAGGAGGGGCAGGCGGAAUUCCUGGUGUAGCGGUGAAAUGCGUAGAUAUCAGGAGGAACACCGGUGGCGAAGGCGGCCUGCUGGACUGCAACUGACGUUGAGGCCCGAAAGCGUGGGGAGCAAACAGGAUUAGAUACCCGUGUAC
rnacentral:rRNA from 1 species